AAGCGGAGGAGCAUGUGGUUUAAUUCGAUGAUACGCGAGGAACCUUACCUGGGCUCGAACGUAAGAUGACUGUAGGUGAAAGCUUACAUCUCUUCGGAGCAUUUUACGAGGUGCUGCAUGGUUGCCGUCAGCUCGUGCCGUGAGGUGUCGGGUUAAGUCCCAUAACGAGCGCAACCCCUACCUUUAGUUGCCAUCAGGUUAAGCUGGGGACUCUAAAGGAACUGCCUACGCAAGUAGUGAGGAAGCGGGGAUGACGUCAAAUCAGCACGGCCCUUACGUCCAGGGCUACACACGUGCUACAAUGGCCGAUACAGAGGGCAGCUACCUGGUGACAGGAUGCAAAUCUCCAAAGUCGGUCUCAGUUCGGAUCGGAGUCUGCAACCCGACUCCGUGAAGUUGGAUUCGCUAGUAAUCGCGCAUCAGCCAUGGCGCGGUGAAUACGUUCCCGGGCCUU
rnacentral:rRNA from 1 species